rnacentral:rRNA from 1 species
AACGAACGCUGGCGGCAGGCUUAACACAUGCAAGUCGAGCGCCCCGCAAGGGGAGCGGCAGACGGGUGAGUAACGCGUGGGAAUCUACCCAUCACUACGGAACAACUCCGGGAAACUGGAGCUAAUACCGUAUACGUCCUUCGGGAGAAAGAUUUAUCGGUGAUGGAUGAGCCCGCGUUGGGUUAGCUAGUUGGUGGGGUAAUGGCCCACCAAGGCGACGAUCCAUAGCUGGUCUGAGAGGAUGAUCAGCCACACUGGGACUGAGACACGGCCCAGACUCCUACGGGAGGCAGCAGUGGGGAAUAUUGGACAAUGGGCGCAAGCCUGAUCCAGCCAUGCCGCGUGAGUGAUGAAGGCCCUAGGGUUGUAAGGCUUUUUCACCGGUGAAGAUAAUGACGGUAACCGGAGAAGAAGCCCCGGCUAACUUCGUGCCAGCCGCCGCCGUAA